UACGAAGGUGGCGAAUGGUUGCUCGGAUUCACUGGGCGUAAAGCGGUCUGAUAGGUGGCUUGUUAAGUUUAGAGGUGAAAGCCCCGCGCUCAAACGGUGGGAACUGCCUUUAAAACUGGCGAGCUUGAGAAGUAUCAGAGGAAGGCGGAAUUGACUGGUGUAGAGGUAAAAUUCAUAGAUAAUCAGUAGGAACAUCCAUGGCGAAGGCAGCUUUCUGGGAUACAUCUGACACUGAGAGACGACAGUGUGGGGAGCAAACAGG
rnacentral:rRNA from 1 species